UGGAGCCUCAGAAAAAGGACAGAUAGCCAGAGUAUGAGAACUAAAACGUCAUUGAGUUUCCCUGGUGGCCAUCUUCCCCUUGGUCACUGCCCCAGUCUAGAUCUGAAGAGUAAUAAUGGGACAAAAACAUCAGUACAAUGAGUGAGGGGGUCCCGGCAUGUGAGUUAGUGGCAGGCCGGGUGGGUAAAAAGGUAUGUAAGAAAAUAUGAUAGAUUGCCAAAAGAAUGCAAUUUGACCAAGAAUGACCCCCGCCUACAGCCGGAAGAAUGGCGUCUUCUCUUAACCGAGAAGAGAGGUGUGCUACUUGAUAAGGGUUUUGUAGAGACCGCUGAAGUUUAAAGUUGUUAAAUGCUUACACAAAGAAUAAUCGAAUCAAAUAGAAAAGUUAAAGUGAUGUAUUAGAAGCUCUAAUCCUACAAGAGUUGAGUGGUUGUUACUCAUAUGGCAUAACCACAAUCUGGAUCUUUUUCACCAACAUGAAGGUUGGUGAUCUGAGCAAAAUUCCAUCAGUAGCUGUUGAGAUUAUUCCAAUCCAUUCCCAAUAGAACAGCUAUCAUUGAUCCCACCACUCAUAGAAAUCAAAGAGAAGAACAAGAAAAGCUGCUAGCAGAAGGGUUAAGUUAGAAAAAUAGAGAAUAGUGAGAAGAGACAAUUCAUCUUUCAGUGCUGAAAACAGCAGCGCUGAUACAGGCAGUUCUCAGCCCCGCAGCCAAGCUCUACCCCGCCCGUACAGUACAAACUAGAGAAGAGGGGGGGAGAGGCGGGGGCACACA